AAUAAAGAUUCUUUUAAUAAAGGUUUAGAAUUAGCGCUACAAAUUAGAGGUUUAAAUCAUUAUCACAAAAAACAUUUUUCUAGUAACCCCGUAACGACUGACAUGGAAGGUACCAGAUAAUCUGGGAUACUAAACUUCCAUUACAUGUUGGCUCCCCCGAUCAAAUCGGGGGAUGAAGAUAUAGUCUGAUACUCCGAGGGAUCGGAGAAAACAUUUAUGACGGCCCAUACACCUACGGGUGGCAGCAACCGGGAAUAUUCGACAAUGGACGAAAGUCUGAUCGAGCGACGCCGCGUGGAGGAUGAAGGCCCUCGGGUUGUAAACUCCUUUUAUCUGGGAAGAUUAUGACGGUACCAGAUGAAUAAGCACUUGCUAACUACGUGCCAGAAGCCUCGGUAAUGCGUAGAGUGCAAACGUUAUCCGGAUUUAUUGGGCGUAAAGAGUUGCGUAGGCUGAUCCGUGCAUUUUGUUUGAAAUGCUCUGACUUAAUCAGGGAUUUGGACAAAAUAUGGCGGAUCUUGAUGGUUGGAGAGGGUGCUGGAACCUGAGGUGUAGCAGUGAAAUGCGUUGAUAUCUCAGGGAACACCAAAGGCGUAGGCAGGCACCUAGACAACACAUGACGCUGAGGCACGAAAGCUGGGGGAGCGAAGCAGAUUAGAGACCUGCGUAGUCCCAGCCGUAAACUAUCUCUGCUAGAUAGCCGCUUUUGCGGCUGUCGCAGCUAACGCGUUAAGCAGAGCGCCUGGGGAGUACGAGCGCAAGCUUAAAACUCAAAGGAAUUGACGGGGACCCGCACAAGCAGUGGAGCGUGUUGUUUAAUUCGAUACGAAACGAAAAACCUCACCAGGGCUUGACAUGCUAGCGUUCUAUUCCCAGGAAACUGGGGAAAUGCGUAAGCAGGCUAGCACAGAUGCUGCAUGGCUGUCGUCAGCUCGUGGCGUGAGCUGUUCCAUUAAGUUGGGAAACGAGCGCAACCCUCACCGUAUGUUAAAUAAUUCAUGCGGAACAGCCCCGAUUUUUCGGGGAGGAAGGCGAGGAUGACGUCAAGUCAGCACGGUUCUUACGCCCUGGGCCACAAACACACUACAAUGGCGAAAAACAACGAGUUGCAAGCUAGCAAUAGCAAGCUAAUCUCUGAAAUUUCGCCUCAGUUCAGAUUGGGGUCUGCAACCCGACCCCAUGAAGUCGGAAUUGCUAGUAAUCGCGGAUCAGCGUGCCGCGGUGAAUACGUUCUCGGGUCUUGUACACACCGCCUAUAGUAUUUAAUAUAAUGCUAUAUAAAACGCGCAUGGCAGCGUAAAUAACUAGUUGGUUAAAAUCCAAC
rnacentral:rRNA from 1 species